UGCGCGCCCGCAGCCCGGAGGUCGUUCGGUGCUGGCGGACCGGGCCCUUACGUAACGCCGCCUCAGCAGCACCCCGGGCUGAGAUCGGCACUUGUUGCGGGGAAGGUGAAGCGGCGCGCCCGCCCCGUGCCGGGGUCGUGCCUUGCUGCGAGCGUCGCUCGCUUUCUCCGGUCUUUUGGAAGGCGUCGGUUUGAAGCCGUGCCGGGGUUCUGGCUCGAGCCCCCGCGGAGCCUAACCUUGAGGCUUACGUAAAGAACGCUGCGCGGCGGUGGGCGAUAACGACCGGCCCGAGGCCGCGCGGCGGUCGUUGGCGGUGGCCUCGCGGCCAUCGAUCGGCGCGGCGGAGCGGAGCCGCAGAUACGCAUUGCAGGGCUGCGCACCUGAAGUUAACAAGCAUAAGCCAUGGAUUGAAACGACGUAUCAUGGGAUAGUCACAGAAAACGACAACACAGUUCUCUUGGACCCCCCUUUAAUAGCCCUGGACAAAGAUGCACCUUUGCGUUUUGCAGAGAGUUUUGAGGUGACAGUCACCAAAGAAGGUGAUAAAGGGUUCUUUCUAUCCCUUUUAUGAAUAUUAACCCACUAACUUUGGUUAUGAAAUG